rnacentral:rRNA from 1 species
AACAUUCCGUCGCGUCUCUUUGAGUCUUGUAUUGGAAUGAGUACAAUUUAAAUCUCUUAACGAGGAACAAUUGGAGGGCAAGUCUGGUGCCAGCAGCCGCGGUAAUUCCAGCUCCAAUAGCGUAUAUUAAAGUUGUUGCAGUUAAAAAGCUCGUAGUUGAAUUUUGGGCUCAGUCAGCCGGUCCACCUAACGGGGAGUACUGGCGGGCUGGGCUCCCCUUUUUGGGUGUCUCGGCUUCCCCUUACUGGGUGGGCGCGAGGGCCCAGACUUUUACUUUGAAAAAAAUAGAGUGUUCAAAGCAGGCUUACGCUUGAAUACAUUAAAAUGGAAUAAUGGAAUAGGACUUUGGUUCUGUUUUGUUGGUUUAAAGAACCAAUGUAAUGAUUAAUAGGGACAGUUGGGGGCAUUAGUAUUUCAGGGCUAGAGGU